rnacentral:rRNA from 1 species
ACACUCCUACGGGAGGCAGCAGUGGGGAAUUUUGGACAAUGGGCGAAAGCCUGAUCCAGCAAUGCCGCGUGAGUGAAGAAGGCCUUCGGGUUGUAAAGCUCUUUUGUCAGGGAAGAAACGGUGAGAGCUAAUAUCUUUUGCUAAUGACGGUACCUGAAGAAUAAGCACCGGCUAACUACGUGCCAGCAGCCGCGGUAAUACGUAGGGUGCAAGCGUUAAUCGGAAUUACUGGGCGUAAAGCGUGCGCAGGCGGUUUUGUAAGUCUGAUGUGAAAUCCCCGGGCUCAACCUGGGAAUUGCAUUGGAGACUGCAAGGCUAGAAUCUGGCAGAGGGGGGUAGAAUUCCACGUGUAGCAGUGAAAUGCGUAGAUAUGUGGAGGAACACCGAUGGCGAAGGCAGCCCCCUGGGUCAAGAUUGACGCUCAUGCACGAAAGCGUGGGGAGCAAACAGGAUUAGAUACCCUGGUAGUCCC